rnacentral:rRNA from 1 species
GACGAACGCUGGCGGCGUGCUUAACACAUGCAAGUCGAACGGUGAAAGCGGAGCUUGCUCCGCUGGAUCAGUGGCGAACGGGUGAGUAACACGUGGGCAACCUGCCCCUCACUUCGGGAUAACUCCGGGAAACCGGGGCUAAUACCGGAUAUGACCUCCUUGGGCAUCCUUGGAGGUGGAAAGUUUUUCGGUGAGGGAUGGGCCCGCGGCCUAUCAGCUUGUUGGUGAGGUAGUGGCUCACCAAGGCGAAGACGGGUAACCGGCCUGAGAGGGCGACCGGCCACACUGGGACUGAGACACGGCCCAGACUCCUACGGGAGGCAGCAGUGGGGAAUAUUGCGCAAUGGGCGAAAGCCUGACGCAGCAACGCCGCGUGCGGGAUGACGGCCUUCGGGUUGUAAACCUCUUUUAGUAGGGAAGAAGCGAAAGUGACGGUACCUGCAGAAAAAGCACCGGCUAACUACGUGCCAGCCGCCGCCGUAA